GGGAGUGUGGCUCAGUGGUAGAGUGCUUGCCUAGCAUGCAUGAAGCCCUGGGUUCAAUUCCUCAGUACCA
rnacentral:tRNA from 1 species